ensembl:lncRNA
GGGCUCAAAUGGCCCCAAGGGGACCCCAAAUAGGAUGAAAUGACCUCAAAGGGUCCACACGUGGGCUCAAAUGGCCCCAAAGGGUACCCAAAUGGGCUCAAAUGGCCCCAAGGGGACCCCAGAUGGGAUCAGAUGUCACAAAAGGGUCCCCAAAUGGGCUCAAAUGGCCCCAAAAUGUCCCCAAAGGGGCUCAAAUGGCCCCAAAGGGACCCCAAAUAGGAUCAAAUGUCCCCACGGGGACCCUAAAUGGGAUAAAAUGAUCCCAAAGGGUCCCCAUAUGGGCUCAAAUGGCCCCAAGGGGACCCCAAAUAGGAUGAAAUGACCCCAAAGGGUCCUCACGUGGGCUCAAAUGGCCCCAAAGGGCCCCCAAAUAGGAUCAGAUGUCACCAAAGGGGACCCCAAAUGGGAUGAAAUGACCCCAAAGGGACCCCAAAUGGGAUCACAUGUGACCAAAGGGUCCCCAAAUGGGCACAGAUGUCCCCAAGGGGACCCCAAAUGGGAUGAAAUGACCCCAAAGGGUCCCCAAAUGGGAUCAGAUGUCACAAAAGGGUACCCAAAUGGGCUCAAAUGGCCCCAAAGGGUCCCCAUAUGGCCUCAAAUGUCACCAAAGGGGUCCCCAAAUGGGAUGAAAUGACCCCAAAGGGACCCCAAAUGGGAUCACAUGUGACCAAAGGGUCCCCAAAUGGGCACAAAUGUCCCCAAGGAGACCCCAAAUGGGAUGAAAUGACCCCAAAGGGGACCCCAGAUGGGCUCAAAUG